AACAAACGCUGGCGGCGUGUCUUAAGCAUGCAAGUCGAGCGGCAAGGGCAGCAAUGCCCCUAGAGCGGCGGACUGGUGAGUAACGCGUGGGUGAUCUACCUUGGGCAUGGGGAUAGCCAUUAGAAAUAGUGUGUAAUACCGAAUACGUUCGUUAUCGUGAGGGUAACGAGGAAAGGCGCUACGGCGCCGGCCUGAUGAUGAGCUUGCGUCCCGUUAGCUAGUUGGUGAGGUAACGGCCCACCAAGGCGAUGAUGGGUAGCCGGCCUGAGAGGGUGUACGGCCACACUGGGACUGAGAUACGGCCCAGACUCCUACGGGAGGCAGCAGCUAAGAAUAUUCCGCAAUGGACGAAAGUCUGACGGAGCGACGCCGCGUGGAUGAAGAAGGCCGAAAGGUUGUAAAGUCCUUUUGCUGGGGAAGAAUAAGUCUGGGAGGGAAUGCCCGGAUGAUGACAUGAACCGGCGAAUAAGCCCCGGCUAACUACGUGCCAGCAGCCGCCGUAAUAC
rnacentral:rRNA from 1 species